CUCUCUUGAGCACCCUGCAUGAAGUCCCCAGAGCAGCUCCUACCCUUCUGUGAGCCCGCCUGGCUGCUCUUCCACAUCUCCACUAUUUUUCACAGCAUUUAUCAUCUUUCAAAUUGUACCUAUUACUUGCUUUUAUGUUUAAGGUGACCUUCCUCAAGAAAUAUCUGAAAAGAAUAUCAGAGGAAAAGAGACACCACGAGGGAACCCAACUCUCCUCCUCCAGAUGAUCAGGACGCUGAGGAGUCGACAAUGGCCUGAGCUCACCGUGGGGGAGCAGAGUGACCGGAAGACUCAGCCCGGUCGGGACUACACUUGACCGCAGACAAG